GAUGAACGCUGGCGGCGUGCUUAACACAUGCAAGUCGAACGAAGCACCUCUCCCGAAGAUUGACACAGCUUGCUGUAGAUUGAUUCAUUUGAGGUGACUGAGUGGCGGACGGGUGAGUAACGCGUGGGUAACCUGCCUCAUAGAGGGGGACAACAGUUGGAAACGACUGCUAAUACCGCAUAGUAAGAAGAAUUCGCAUGUUUUCUCCUUGAAAGAUUUAUCGCUAUGAGAUGGACCCGCGUCUGAUUAGCUAGUUGGUAAGGUAACGGCUUACCAAGGCGACGAUCAGUAGCCGGCUUGAGAGAGUGAACGGCCACAUUGAGACUGAGACACGGCCCAAACUCCUACGGGAGGCAGCAGUGGGGAAUAUUGCACAAUGGGGGAAACCCUGAUGCAGCGACGCCGCGUGAGUGAAGAAGUAUUUCGGUAUGUAAAGCUCUAUCAGCAGGGAAGAUAAUGACGGUACCUGACUAAGAAGCCCCGGCUAACUACGUG
rnacentral:rRNA from 1 species